UACGAAGGGUGCAAGCGUUACUCGGAAUUACUGGGCGUAAAGCGUGCGUAGGUGGUUUGUUAAGUCUGUUGUGAAAGCCCCGGGCUCAACCUGGGAAUGGCAAUGGAUACUGGCAAGCUAGAGUGCGGUAGAGGGUAGUGGAAUUCCCGGUGUAGCGGUGAAAUGCGUAGAGAUCGGGAGGAACACCAGUGGCGAAGGCGGCUACCUGGACCAGCACUGACACUGAGGCACGAAAGCGUGGGGAGCAAAACGG
rnacentral:rRNA from 1 species